UUUUGGGAGGCCAAGGCAGGCAGAUCAUUUGAGGUCUGGAGUUCAGCAACAUUACAUAAAUUAGAAGUGGACAUAAAGCAAAGGAGAAAACACCAGCAUAAAAAUAUAAAAUGGAACCAGCAAUGGAGCUAAUAUAAGCUCAGAUCCACCUACGACCUCAGGUCCUCAGACCGACCAGCCCAAGAAACAUCUCACCAAUUUCAAUUCCGGUAAGUGGCCUCUUUUUACUCUCUUCUCCAGCUUCCCUCACUAUCCCACAACCUCUUUCUCCUUUCAAUCUUGAUGCCACACUUCAAUCUCUUCCUUCUCUUAAUUUCAAUUCCUUUCAUUUUCUGGUAGAGACAAAGGAGACACGUUUUAUCCGUGGACCCAAAACUCCCACGCCAGUCACGGACUGGGAAGGCAGCCUUCCCUUGGUGUUUAAUCAUUACAGGGACGCCUCUGAUUGUUCACCCACUUUUCAAAGGUGUCAGACCAUGCAGGGACGCCUGCCUUGGUCCUUCACCCUUAGCGGCAAGUUCCGCUUUUCUGGGGAAGGGGCAAAUACCCCAACCCCUUCUCUCCUUGUCUCUACUCCUUCUCUGCUUUUCUGGGAGAGGGGUAAGUACCCCUCAACCCCUUCUCCUUCACCCUUAGCGGCAAGUCCCGCUUUUCUGGGGCAGGGGCAAAUACCCCUCAACCCCUUCUCCUUCACCCUUAGCGGCAAGUCCCGCUUUCCUAGGGGGCAAGAACCCCCCAGUCGCUUAUUUCCGCACCCCAACCUCUUAUCUCUGUGCCCCAAUCCCUUAUUUCUGCACCCUGACCUCUUAUCUGUGCCCCAAUCCCUUAUUUCCGUGCUCCAACCCCUUCUCUGCUUUUCUGGAGGGCAAGAACCCCCCACCCCUUCUCCAUGUCUCUACUCUUUUCUCUGGGCUUGCCUCCUUCACUAUGGGUAAGCUUCCACCUUCCGUUCCUCCUUCUUCUCCCUUAGCCUGUGUUCUCAAAAACUUAAAACCUCUUCAACACACACCUGACCUAUAAAUGCCUUAUUUUCUUCUGCAAUGCCGCUUGACCACAAUACAAACUCGACAGUAGUUCCAAAUGGCCGGAAAACGGCACUUUCAAUUUUUCCAUCCUACAAGAUCUAAAUAAUUCUUGUCGUAAAAUAGGCAAAUGGUCUGAGGUGCCUGACGUCCAGGCAUUCUUUUACACAUCAGUCCCUUCCUAGUCUCUGUGCCCAGUGCAACUCGUCCCAAAUCUUCCUUCUUUCCCUCCCGGCUGUCCCCUCAGUCCCAACCCCAAGUAUCGCUGAGUCUUUUUAAUCUUCCUUUUCUACAGACCCAUCUGACCUCUCCCCUCCUCACCAGCCCAAGCUAGGUCCCAAUUCUUCCUCAGCCUCCGCUCCUCCACCCUGUAAUCUUUUUAUCGCCUCCCCUCCUCACACCUGGUUGGGCUUACAGUUUCGUUCUGUGACUAGCCCUCCCCCACCUGCCCAGCAAUUUACUCUUAAAAAGGUGGCUGGAGCCAAAGGCAUAGUCAAGGUUAAUGCUCCUUUUUCUUUAUCCCAAAUCUGAUAGCUUUUAGGCUCUUUUUCAUCAAAUAUAAAAACCCAGCCCAGUUCAUGGCUCAUUCGGCGGCAACCCUGAGACGCUUUACAGCCCUAGACCCUAAAAGGUCAAAAGGCCAUCUUAUUCUCAGUA
rnacentral:lncRNA from 1 species